rnacentral:tRNA from 1 species
GGGGGUGUAGCUCAGCUGGGAGAGCGCUUGCUUCGCAUGUAAGAGGUCAGGGGUUCGAUCCCCCUCAUCUCCACCA